rnacentral:rRNA from 1 species
CGGGGUGGAGUAAUGUCUGGGAAACUGCCUGAUGGAGGGGGAUAACUGCUGGAAACGGUAGCUAAUACCGCAUAACGUCGCAAGACCAAAGAGGGGGACCGUUCGGGCCUCUUGCCAUCGGAUGUGCCCAGAUGGGAUUAGCUAGUAGGUGGGGUAACGGCUCACCUAGGCGACGAUCCCUAGCUGGUCUGAGAGGAUGCCAGCCACACUGGAACUGAGACACGGUCCAG